AUUAUAUUACAAGCAUUUGAAUAUUUGGAUGCAUCAGGAUGGUCCACGGUUUCAGUUGAUCCUCUAGGGCCCACACAGUGCCUGAUACACAUGGCAGGCAUUCCAAGAUGAAAAAGACUGCAUUCCAGAAAUGAAGGAGGAAAAACAUGGAAACAAAUCAUUUUAAUAAAGUAUGGUCUAUUCUGUAAUGACUGCACCUUAUGGAGCCAUUGUGGUCCCCCUUUCCCUCAUGGAGCUAUUUAGAAGCUUUCCUCAGUGGUGCUGUGAUAUUUAAAAAGAGAAAUAUAUAAAGAUGCUCCCUGGGAUGGAAAUAAACUGAACAGAUCCUCUGCCAUCUCACCCAGAUCUCUCCAGUAAUCUGAAACACCAACAGCUUUCACACAGAGUAAUACAAAUGCAAGUUAUUAUGAACUCCCUUCUUUUCAGCAAAACAUUUUAUAGCAACAGAAGACAAGAAGAAUGAGGGCACAUUACUGUCUUGGGUUUCCUGGCUUCAUUGAAAACUCACCAUGGAAUCUGAAGUCUCC